rnacentral:rRNA from 1 species
AGAGCGAACGCUGGCGGCAGGCCUAACACAUGCAAGUCGAGCGCCCGUAGCAAUACGGGAGCGGCAGACGGGAUAGUAACACGUGGGAACGCGCCCUUCGGUUCGGAAUAACUCAGGGAAACUUGAGCUAAUACCGGACACGCCCUUACGGGGAAAGAUUUAUUGCCGAAGGAACGGCCCGCGUCCGAUUAGCUAGUUGGUGAGGUAAUGGCUCACCAAGGCGACGAUCGGUAGCUGGUCUGAGAGGAUGACCAGCAUCACUGGGACUGAGACACGGCCCAGACUCCUACGGGAGGCAGCAGUGGGGAAUAUUGGACAAUGGGCGCAAGCCUGAUCCAGCCAUGCCGCGUGGAUGAUGGAGGCCUUAGGGUUGUAAAGUCCGUUUUAACGGGGAAGAUAAUGACGGUACCCGUAGAAUAAGCCCCGGCUAACUUCGUGCCAGCAGCCGC